rnacentral:rRNA from 1 species
GACGAACGCUGGCGGCGUGCCUAAUACAUGCAAGUUGAGCGAUGAAGAUUGGUGCUUGCCACAAUUUGAAGAGCAGCGAACGGGUGAGUAACGCGUGGGGAAUCUGCCUUUGAGCGGGGGACAACAUUUGGAAACGAAUGCUAAUACCGCAUAACAACUUUAAACAUAAGUUUUAAGUUUGAAAGAUGCAAUUGCAUCACUCAAAGAUGAUCCCGCGUUGUAUUAGCUAGUUGGUGAGGUAAAGGCUCACCAAGGCGAUGAUACAUAGCCGACCUGAGAGGGUGAUCGGCCACAAUGGGACUGAGACACGGCCCAAACUCCUACGGGAGGCAGCAGUAGGGAAUCUUCGGCAAUGGACGAAAGUCUGACCGAGCAACGCCGCGUGAGUGAAGAAGGUUUUCGGAUCGUAAAACUCUGUUGGUAGAGAAGAACGUUGGUGAGAGUGGAAAGCUCAUCAAGUGACGGUAACUACCCAGAAAGGGACGGCUAACUACGUG